CGGGACACGUGGUAUCCUGUCUGAAUAUGGGGGGACCAUCCUCCAAGGCUAAAUACUCCUGACUGACCGAUAGUGAACCAGUACCGUGAGGGAAAGGCGAAAAGAACCCCGGCGAGGGGAGUGAAAAAGAACCUGAAACCGUGUACGUACAAGCAGUGGGAGCACGCUUAGGCGUGUGACUGCGUACCUUUUGUAUAAUGGGUCAGCGACUUAUAUUCUGUAGCAAGGUUAACCGAAUAGGGGAGCCGAAGGGAAACCGAGUCUUAACUGGGCGUUAAGUUGCAGGGUAUAGACCCGAAACCCGGUGAUCUAGCCAUGGGCAGGUUGAAGGUUGGGUAACACUAACUGGAGGACCGAACCGACUAAUGUUGAAAAAUUAGCGGAUGACUUGUGGCUGGGGGUGAAAGGCCAAUCAAACCGGGAGAUAGCUGGUUCUCCCCGAAAGCUAUUUAGGUAGCGCCUCGUGAAUUCAUCUCCGGGGGUAGAGCACUGUUUCGGCAAGGGGGUCAUCCCGACUUACCAACCCGAUGCAAACUGCGAAUACCGGAGAAUGUUAUCACGGGAGACACACGGCGGGUGCUAACGUCCGUCGUGAAGAGGGAAACAACCCAGACCGCCAGCUAAGGUCCCAAAGUCAUGGUUAAGUGGGAAACGAUGUGGGAAGGCCCAGACAGCCAGGAUGUUGGCUUAGAAGCAGCCAUCAUUUAAAGAAAGCGUAAUAGCUCACUGGUCGAGUCGGCCUGCGCGGAAGAUGUAACGGGGCUAAACCAUGCACCGAAGCUGCGGCAGCGACGCUGAUGCGUUGUUGGGUAGGGGAGCGUUCUGUAAGCCUGCGAAGGUGUGCUGUGAGGCAUGCUGGAGGUAUCAGAAGUGCGAAUGCUGACAUAAGUAACGAUAAAGCGGGUGAAAAGCCCGCUCGCCGGAAGACCAAGGGUUCCUGUCCAACGUUAAUCGGGGCAGGGUGAGUCGACCCCUAAGGCGAGGCCGAAAGGCGUAGUCGAUGGGAAACAGGUUAAUAUUCCUGUACUUGGUGUUACUGCGAAGGGGGGACGGAGAAGGCUAUGUUGGCCGGGCGACGGUUGUCCCGGUUUAAGCGUGUAGGCUGGUUUUCCAGGCAAAUCCGGAAAAUCAAGGCUGAGGCGUGAUGACGAGGCACUACGGUGCUGAAGCAACAAAUGCCCUGCUUCCAGGAAAAGCCUCUAAGCAUCAGGUAACAUCAAAUCGUACCCCAAACCGACACAGGUGGUCAGGUAGAGAAUACCAAGGCGCUUGAGAGAACUCGGGUGAAGGAACUAGGCAAAAUGGUGCCGUAACUUCGGGAGAAGGCACGCUGAUAUGUAGGUGAAGUCCCUCGCGGAUGGAGCUGAAAUCAGUCGAAGAUACCAGCUGGCUGCAACUGUUUAUUAAAAACACAGCACUGUGCAAACACGAAAGUGGACGUAUACGGUGUGACGCCUGCCCGGUGCCGGAAGGUUAAUUGAUGGGGUCAGCGCAAGCGAAGCUCUUGAUCGAAGCCCCGGUAAACGGCGGCCGUAACUAUAACGGUCCUAAGGUAGCGAAAUUCCUUGUCGGGUAAGUUCCGACCUGCACGAAUGGCGUAAUGAUGGCCAGGCUGUCUCCACCCGAGACUCAGUGAAAUUGAACUCGCUGUGAAGAUGCAGUGUACCCGCGGCAAGACGGAAAGACCCCGUGAACCUUUACUAUAGCUUGACACUGAACAUUGAGCCUUGAUGUGUAGGAUAGGUGGGAGGCUUUGAAGUGUGGACGCCAGUCUGCAUGGAGCCGACCUUGAAAUACCACCCUUUAAUGUUUGAUGUUCUAACGUGGACCCGUGAUCCGGGUUGCGGACAGUGUCUGGUGGGUAGUUUGACUGGGGCGGUCUCCUCCUAAAGAGUAACGGAGGAGCACGAAGGUUGGCUAAUCCUGGUCGGACAUCAGGAGGUUAGUGCAAUGGCAUAAGCCAGCUUGACUGCGAGCGUGACGGCGCGAGCAGGUGCGAAAGCAGGUCAUAGUGAUCCGGUGGUUCUGAAUGGAAGGGCCAUCGCUCAACGGAUAAAAGGUACUCCGGGGAUAACAGGCUGAUACCGCCCAAGAGUUCAUAUCGACGGCGGUGUUUGGCACCUCGAUGUCGGCUCAUCACAUCCUGGGGCUGAAGUAGGUCCCAAGGGUAUGGCUGUUCGCCAUUUAAAGUGGUACGCGAGCUGGGUUUAGAACGUCGUGAGACAGUUCGGUCCCUAUCUGCCGUGGGCGCUGGAGAACUGAGGGGGGCUGCUCCUAGUACGAGAGGACCGGAGUGGACGCAUCACUGGUGUUCGGGUUGUCAUGCCAAUGGCACUGCCCGGUAGCUAAAUGCGGAAGAGAUAAGUGCUGAAAGCAUCUAAGCACGAAACUUGCCCCGAGAUGAGUUCUCCCUGACUCCUUGAG
rnacentral:rRNA from 1 species